UUCUGGUUCUCUUACAUUGAGAAAUCUGUACCCUCCUCCUCUCCCUCCUGUUGCUCCCCCUUUUCUUUCUUGCCUGGAAAACAGGUGGAUAAGACCUCAUAUAGCAUAAGGCAGCCCUCCUAGUUAAGAGUCCAGGUUGGGGGCUUAUGACAACCCACCAAUAACUAAGAGGCUUUUUCUCAGUUUCACCUGGCAUCUUAUUCUUACUUUCAAAUAAACUCUGCCUUUCUACUCCACCUUUCAUAAUCCUAAUUCUCUAUCUGGUGACACUCUUCAAAAGAGUCUGUUAUUUCAGCUUUCAACUAGUUUCACUCCAAUAAAAAAAAAAAAAACCUCUCAAUUUCUGCCAGCUUCUUGUGCCCCUGGUCAGACUGAGACAACAAACCUAGAUAGUAUCAGUCAUACAUCCUGCUACUUUCUUUAACCUUCUAGAGUUUGUUUUGUUUUUGGUGCCAAGGUCAGAACUCCAACUCCGUAUUUGAUGUUUGCUUUUGUUCACUGGCUGGUGCCCUAUGACCUGAGCCAAGCCUCCCUGGAGUUUGUCUUAAUCCUUCUUUUCCCAUUUUAGAACAACCAGUUAUUGCAAAUCUUACUCUUCAACAAUCAUCCCUCAUUGGGGCUGGGAAUAUGGCCUAGUGGCAAGAGUGCUU